rnacentral:lncRNA from 10 species
AGUGGAAAUACAUGUUUUUUAGGGUAUUACUAGAAAAGAAAGUAUGAUAAAGCGUGUCUGUAAUACUUUUAUUUUUACUCUGGUGGUAGUGGCGAGCUGAGAAGUUUCUACAUACAUGGAGUCCAGUAAACAUCUAUUGAACAAACACCAUCAAUAUGUACAAUUUUGGGCUAUAUAAUUUUAAAAUUGAUGGUGCCACCUAUUGGUGAUGACAUAAAGUGUAAAAUGAUCACUUACAUAGUAAGUUAUUUCAUGUUUUCCAAUCAUGUUACUUAUUCCCACAGAGAUUCUGUGAGGAGCUGGAAGGCAAGCUUGGUUCAUGCAGACAUGAGGCACUAAUGUUUUCAACUGGGUUGCUCUCCACUGGAUGCCUAUUAAAUGCUCAGCACUUUGGAGUAUACCAGAGAAGUAAAGACAUGGCCCCUGCCUUCAAGGAGCAUUUUAUCCAGUUGGAUUUCAAACCUGUUCUUUGGGGAUGGCCCAACCCCACUUGUUCAGUUUUGCAGCCAGAAGCAUGGAUUCAUCAUCAGUAUGGUGGGACGCUACUUCAGACUGCUUUCAUGUCAAGAUCUGCCUCAUCUUCCAAAGUGGGAGUUCCCAGCAUUAGGCUUGUGGGGGUGGAAGCUUAAUCCGCCUCCUUCCAAAAACUGAAAUCUGGCCAGACGCGGUGGCUCACACCUGUAAUCUCAGCACUUUGGGAGGCUAAGGCAAGUGGAGCACGAGGUCAGGAGAUCGAGACCAUCCUGGCCAACAUGGUGAAACCCCAUCUCUACUGAAAAUACAAAAAUUAGCCGGGCAUGGUGGCUUGUGCCUGUAAUCCCAGCUACUCGAGAGACUGAGGCGAGAGAAUUGCUUGAACCCGGGAGGCAGAGGUUGCAGUGAGCCAAGAUCCCACCACUGCACAUCAGCCUGGGCGACAGAACCAGAUUCUGUCUGAGAAAAAAAAAAAAAAAGAAAGAAAGCCAACCAAUUCUUGCUGUAACUUCUGAAAAAGAACACAGUGCUGUGGCAGCAAUAAUGAUGACAUUCUUCCAAGGGGCAGGAUAAGAAAGAGGCAAAACAGCUGCUGGAGGUGGAUUUUUGGCAUUAGGGAAGUGUGAAAUGU